rnacentral:rRNA from 1 species
UCAGUACGGGAGGCAGCAGUGGGGAAUAUUGCACAAUGGGGGAAACCCUGAUGCAGCGACGCCGCGUGAGUGAAGAAGUAUUUCGGAUCGUAAAGCUCUGUUGUAAGAGAAGAACGAGUGUGAGAGUGGAAAGUUCACACUGUGACGGUAUCUUACCAGAAAGGGACGGCUAACUACGUGCCAGCAGCCGCGGUAAUCUGA